rnacentral:rRNA from 1 species
UACGAAGGGGGCUAGCGUUGUUCGGAAUUACUGGGCGUAAAGCGCACGUAGGCGGACUGCCAAGUCAGGGGUGAAAUCCCGGGGCUCAACCUCGGAACUGCCUCUGAUACUGUCAGUCUAGAGUCCGGAAGAGGUGGGUGGAAUUCCUAGUGUAGAGGUGAAAUUCGCAGAUAUUAGGAAGAACACCGGUGGCGAAGGCGGCCCACUGGUCCGGAACUGACGCUGAGGUGCGAAUGCGUGGGGAGCAAACAGG